rnacentral:rRNA from 1 species
GAAAGGGCGCUUUGCGUCACUGAUGGAUGGACCCGCGGUGCAUUAGCUAGUUGGUGAGGUAACGGCUCACCAAGGCCACGAUGCAUAGCCGACCUGAGAGGGUGAUCGGCCACACUGGGACUGAGACACGGCCCAGACUCCUACGGGAGGCAGCAGUAGGGAAUCUUCGGCAAUGGACGAAAGUCUGACCGAGCAACGCCGCGUGAGUGAAGAAGGUUUUCGGAUCGUAAAACUCUGUUGUUAGAGAAGAACAAGGAUGAGAGUAGAACGUUCAUCCCUUGACGGUAUCUAACCAGAAAGCCACGGCUAACUACGUGCCAGCAGCCGCGGUAAUACGUAGGUGGCAAGCGUUGUCCGGAUUUAUUGGGCGUAAAGCGAGCGCAGGCGGUUUCUUAAGUCUGAUGUGAAAGCCCCCGGCUCAACCGGGGAAGGUCAUUGGAAACUGGGAGACUUGAGUGCAGAAGAGGAGAGUGGAAUUCCAUGUGUAGCGGUGAAAUGCGUAGAUAUAUGGAGGAACACCAGUGGCGAAGGCGGCUCUCUGGUCUGUAACUGACGCUGAGGCUCGAAAGCGUGGGGAGCGAACAGGAUUAGAUACCCUGGUAGUCCACGCCGUAAACGAUGAGUGCUAAGUGUUGGAGGGUUUCCGCCCUUCA